ACGAAGGGGGCGAGCGUUGUUCGGAUUUACUGGGCGUAAAGGGCGCGCAGGCGGUCAUUUUUGUCGAGUGUGAAAGCCCCGGGCUUAACCUGGGAACUGCGCUCGAAACGGGAUGACUAGAGAUCGGGAGAGGAGAGUGGAAUUCCCAGUGUAGAGGUGAAAUGCGUAGAUAUCUGGAGGAACACCGGUGGCGAAGGCGGCAUCCUGGACCAAUACUGACGCUGAGGAGCGAAAGCCAGGGGAGCAAACGGGA
rnacentral:rRNA from 1 species